ACAUGUCAGCUGUGUCAUUGUGGUCAUCUCUGGCGAUCAUCAUUGACAUGAUACAAGGGUAGUUUAUAUUUAUUCGUAUAUGUAUAAGUUUUAUUCCAAAGAUGAAGUGGCAGUUUCGAGACAACUGGGAACUCAGUGAGGGAAAUGAGGUCAAAUCAUGACAACGGUGAUCUUCAGAUUGGAGAUCCAGAAAGAUGCCAGCGUUUCCGACUUGGAAUUCCGAUUGUUCCCAGUCGGAGCUCGUUGUGUUCGAGUUCCCAUUGGUCUUGAACGCGCUGAAGUCGGAGAUUUUCGAGUUCCCAGUUAUUUUGAACGCGGCAUAUGUCCCAAGAUACAAGGCAAGAUGAUAUACUAUAGAAGUGUAGCCUAUUGUUGUCGUGGGGUAUUUUGUUUUCCUUCUUUCGCCUAUGACGUAAUCUGGUCCAGAAAUACGUCACCUGAACAUGAGCGUGACAGGACUUCUUGGGUCAGUUCUUCAUCAAGGAGUCAGUCAGUUUUCAGGCCUACCUACCAUCAGCUAGGAAAGGACACCCGCUCAGACUGCGUGAGGUCAAAGUCUGUCACAGAGGCUAAUGUAGACUAAUCCACGAGGUACAUGUAUUUUGAUUGUAGACCACUGCGACUUGUCUAGCAGAUGACCCGAUAAUGCGUUGCCAGCCUCGGCUCCAGGCUUCACUCAGGAGACGAAAGCCUGUGGCUGAGGCUAGGAAAAGGAAAUGCUGCCGUAUGUUUCUAUGUAAUGUUAAACUGACACGAGGCACACGCAGGGAAAUGUUUCUCUGCCCCUUCAGUUUCCGCUUGAGUUUUCUAGAUGUUUGAUAAACGUGGUUAACGUGUUGCUAACAGGGCACUGAGGAUUAACACCCAUAAGGGUGUCAAUGAAAAAUAAUGAUUAUUAGCUACGUGGUGGUGGGACUAGGCUAUAGGGUGGUUUGGGUUUAAACGCCCCUCCUGUAAUUCUCGCAUAAACCACUAUAUGUCACCAACAUUCAUGUAUUUCAUCACUUUCACUGGAUGCCACUAGUCUUGCUCAACUGAAAUUGUCAUCUUUCUCAUCUCAACUUUGUAAGUCACACCGACAAAACGGUUUUGAGGUACAUUGAUCUUUUAUUUUGUUAUUUACAAAAAGUUAUAUAGCUAAAUAAUUUAACAAAGUUAGAGCAGUUGCUAGGCCCUACAUCCAUUUCCGGACUUAUUAAUGAUAUGUACCCAUUUGAUUCUUGAAAAAACGUUUAAAUGGCACAUGAGCUUAGUUCAAUUGUCAUAUCCCAUCAGACCCCCAAAUAUAAGCUUGUUUAACUCCAAUCUGUGUAAACAAAGUAAAUGUAAACAAACAUUAUAUACCCUCAAAACAUGGUUCCAACUAUAAUUGUGAUAUAAUGGAUGGUCAGUCCUUGCGUCCAUAGCUCUGUCUAUGAAUUUGAGAGCGGUUACGUCUCCAGCCCCAUCUCUCAGCUUUUUUGCGAAACAACUGCUGAUUGCCCCUUUAAAACCUGAAAACACAUGAAUUUAAUUGAGUUGUGGGAAUAAGAUAUAUGUUUAUCUUCAGACAACAUCAUCCUAAAAAUGUCUGACUACAUUGUGAAAAUCGAGGGAACUGGUCCCGAGGAGUCCGAGGCGUCCCCUGAGAAGUCCAGGGACCCGUCUCCUGAGCCUGCUGUCCUGCCCGUGACAGAUGUGUCCUUCCUUGGAGCAAUGGAACACACGAAUGACAUGCUUAGCUCCCUGGAUCAAGUGAUGGACAGUCAAACACAAGAAAAUGGUGAACAAGUGGAAGCAACUGAAAGUCAGAGGAAGAGACUGAAGGGAAACCUAGGUUUGUCCUCUGCUGGGUGUUCACUUGGAUGUAUUCCAAGCUUUGACUCAGUGUCCCUUACAUCUACGGUCAACACGGAUAACAACUCAGCGGAGAGCCUAGAGCAGCUGCAGUACCAAGAGGUCCUGAGGGUGGAUACAUGUGAUGAGGUGGAGGUCAAGAUGCCUGUAGAUAAUGACACCCUGAUGCCCACAGUCGUUGACUGUGACUCCUUGCCAACCCUGGACCAGAUAGCCUCCUUGAGAACUCUUCAGGAGGAGAUGGACAGAGUGCUAGACAUGGACACUGAGGAUUGUCUCUCAAGAACAAUUAGCUUUGAAAGCAGACCAAUUCCGGAGAGGAGUGGAAGCACAAAGCCAUAUUGCAGUGGUGUACGCUCGGCAGCUCCCUACGCUUCAAAACCAUCCCUUACAUCUAUUGACGCACAUGGGGCUGAAAAUGAGGUGGAGGCCAAGGUGCUCAAUAUCGACUUAUCUUCAUUCACCCUGGACCGGAUUUACUUCUCCAGUAUUCUGCAGGAGGAGAACGACAGAGUGCUGGACAUGGACACUAUGGAUUGUCGCUCUCUGUCGAGAACAGUUCACUUUGAAAGCAGCCCAAUUCCGGAGAGGAGUGGAAGCUUGAAGACGUAUUGCAGUAGUGUACGGUCGCCCACCCCCUACCAGUCAAGAUUAUCCCUUACCUCCACUGAGGCACAUGAUGAAGUUGCACACAGUUCAGGCACACAAGUGAGCCUCCAAAUCCUGAUGGACCCUCUGGAGGAGCUUUUUGGUAUCACUCAGGAUAUGAUAUACACAGACGUCCAAGAUAGAGUGAUUGAAGUGCUGCAGGACAUCUACUUGGCAGCUAACCAGCUAGAGCAACAGCUAUUCCAGAGUGUCUUUGACAGGCAAGCCAGAGCCAUUGUAAAGGCGGUAGUGCAGCAGAUCAAUGCCGCCCUGUCCAGGGCUCUCCAACAAACCUGCUCGGGAUCACAAUUACUUACUAUAGUGGGAUCUGCCAAGCUCUAUAGCAAAGAUGGGUUGGCAGCGGUUGAGGGCCAAGGAGUUCCUUUGAUCACCUCAUCAGCAGAGGGAGACAGGGAUGGCAACAAGGAAGGAAGUAGACCGUUGAAACGUUGUUUUAACAGCUUUGUUCGUGUUUUGUCAGCAAAAAUGAGGAGUAUCUCCAAGGGGAUCAAACAGAGCAGCGAGAGGGCACAACAAGAGCACAGGCUAGUUGUUGAACUGCCAGCAUCAUCUGACGAGGGUACAGAGCAAGAGGCAGCAGAGAAAGCUGGAUCUAGUACAGUUUCUGAACCCUCUAGGGAGGAGAUCACAGAGGUCAGUGAAGUUCUUCAGUCGGAAUCCGAUGAUUCUCUACUUCCCUCCAUCGGGGGAAUGCUCUUCCACGUUGGAUCCAUGCCUCAUACAGAGGAUUCAGUGGAGCUAUACGGCAGGGUCCCAUCAAAGUUGACACCAGAAAGUAUGGUGCAGGAAGAACGUGUUGAUGAAGGCUUGUCUAAGGCUUGUUCCAGGACAACUUCUUCAACCAGCACCACUUUCAGCAUGGUCGACGUCCAGAAGACUGCUACUUUGACCACUUCUGGAAGUGACAGGGGUAGAAGCAUUAUCACUACCCCAGAAACGCCAGAGCAGAGUCUGCACCACCAGGGAGGUGGACUGGACAGCCCUGUCUCCUCAGAGAGAAGAGUGGCUGAAAGUGGCAGAAAGAGCCCUGCAACUUGGUCAGACGCAGAGGGAUUAAGUUAUGCAAAAAAGGCUGUGUCUGAGUUAAUGGAGAGGAUGGUGCUCAGCCGUGAGGAUGCAGCGUCAGCAGAGAAGAGCCUGGAGAUCCUCCUCUCCUCUGGUAUUCUUCGUCCUCACACUGACAAGUUAGUCGACCAGCUGCGAAACCUUUUGAUGGUGAACAGCACACUAACAGCACAAUCUGUAGCUGACAGGUCAAAAUCAGAAUCUGCUCUGCCAAAGUCCAGCAUGACAGGGGAACUUCAAAGGGAGAUCUCAAGGAAGGGUUUGCUGGAGAUAGCAUAUACUAUCACCGAGAGAUCUAUAAAGACCCUUUUGGAGCAGCUGCUCACUGCCCUCCUCCCUCCAUCUGCAGUGGUUGAGGUUGCCAGGUCAUGUCAGAACAUCCGACCAGUCACUCCCUCUCAGGUGAUGAGUUCUGAAGUUAGCCCAGGGUGCUGCAACCCUCUUUCAAUGAUUUGCCGUGUGAUCAUAGAUGUCUUUACGAUCACAAGACAGGUGGUUGAGACAGCCAGUGAAAUGGAUAUGUCUCCCCCCGGAGAGAACAUUAAUGGAAGGCUUUGUAGCAACACGGCACCACUGCCCACUGAUUCAACCUCAUCUGUCCACCCGAUCAACCGUGAGUGCGACAGAUCUUUGAUGACCAAACCAACAAACAAAGUCAAGAGCUUGACAUUCUCAUUUCCUAAGCUCCCAAAGAUCAGUCUCAUAAAGAGCAAGAAAGUCAACAAAGGGGAUAUCGCUCCCCUUGAGACCACCAAGGAUCCUGCUGAUGUCAACUAUAGUAUGUUCUGCACUACUCCAACACCAGAGAAUGCACAACGACAAGAGGAAAAUCUUGCCUCCUGCUCCUCACAGAGGACAGAAAGGCCAAAGAACCAAUUCUUUUUAAUCAGGGUAUACUCUGCCAUGUCUAGGCAUGACAACAGCUAGCGUCAGUAGAAAUGUCCUUUUGGUUAUUUGGCAACACAACCAGAGGACCAUCUCGUCACCUACUCCACAACGAGGAAGGAGAGGCUCAAGAAGUGUUCAUUUUCACUGCCAUAACUAAUCAUUUCAACUCAGUCCUACUGACAUCCCACUGUGCAAAAACUGGUUUAAUCAACAUCGCUUCCACAUCAUUUCAACACACCAAAAAAUCUACAUGAUGAACUGAUAGGAUUUACAACAAGUCAUGAACGUCAGGGCAUUUCGUCUUUUCUUCACCCAACUUUUAAUCUAAAUCCAAUGACAUGGUGAUUUUUUUUUAAACGUUGAAGUGACGUUAGUUGACAACUCAACCAAAUGUAAAUCAAAACUAGAUGUUGAACUGACAUCUGUGCCCAGUGGGAUUUGCUGUUGUCAGUCUUCUACACGGGUUUUGCAACUGCAUCAGAGGACCAUCUUGCCUCCUACUCCCCAACAAGGAAGGAGAGGCCCAAGAAUUGUUACUUUUUUGUCAACCAGUCCUUUCAACUCUUUCAAAACUCAUUUCAAAACUCUCUUUUCACCUAUUAAUCUCAUUCACGAAGCUUCCAAAGAAAUAUCUCAACAAAAAUUGUCCUACACCACAACCAGAGGAGGAACUUGCCUCCUGCUCGCCAAUGAGGAAGGAGAUGCCCAUGAAGCUUCCUUUCACUUCCUUCAAUAAUAAACUGCCACUUCAUGCA